UACGAAGGGGGCUAGCGUUGAUCGGAAUUACUGGGCGUAAAGCGCACGUAGGCGGAUUUGUUAGUCAGGGGUGAAAUCCCGGGGCUCAACCUCGGAAUUGCCUUUGAUACUGCAAGUCUCGAGUCCGGAAGAGGUGAGUGGAAUUCCUAGUGUAGAGGUGAAAUUCGUAGAUAUUAGGAAGAACACCAGUGGCGAAGGUGGCUCACUGGUCCGGUACUGACGCUGAGGUGCGAAAGCGUGGGGAGCAAACAGG
rnacentral:rRNA from 1 species